CCUACGGGAGGCAGCAGUGAGGAAUAUUGGUCAAUGGGCGAGAGCCUGAACCAGCCAAGUAGCGUGAAGGAUGACUGCCCUAUGGGUUGUAAACUUCUUUUAUAGGGGAAUAAAGUGCCGUACGCGUACGGUUUUGUAUGUACCCUAUGAAUAAGCAUCGGCUAAUUCCGUGCCAGCAGCCGCGGUAAU
rnacentral:rRNA from 1 species